rnacentral:snoRNA from 1 species
AAUUCGUGUUUUGGUCAUUGGUGAAGUAAACCUUUGUAACAUUUCUAAACCUCUGAAUAUCAUUCUUAGUCCAUUUGCUAAAAAGUAGUGAUCUCGUCCCUUAGCUU